rnacentral:misc_RNA from 1 species
GGAAGAAGAUAGAGAAGCCACUAUUUAAAGUGGCCACAGGAGGGGAAAUCUCCACUCACAAAAGGAAAAUUAGAACUACUAUUUGGAAGCUCAUACCAUACCUCAAACUCGCUAAUCGCUUUUGGUGUAGGAAAUUCCAGGGGGUUUCAUGUUCAACCUCCUCAUCACCGAGUAAACUGAAUAAUGUUUGUCCACAGGAUUUGAGAAGCCACUUGGACCUGCCAGGUGAACCUGGAAGAAUCCAGUCAAUUGUGAGGUAACUGGAAUCAUGGUAGCAAUUGCUACAGCCUCGAUGAUAUCAUCACUUAUCAUGCUCCAAAUAUUCACUAAAUCCAAGACCACCAGCACAUUCCUGCAAAGCUUUUGUGUUGAGUUCUCGCCCCAGUCUCCAAACAUAAUUGAGACCAACCAAAAGCUCAGUUAUUGUUGCUUCAGUCUUUUCUUGAUUUGCAAAAUGAAGGGUCUGUACCAGGAGCACAUUUGUUCGUGAAACAAAGUUCUGCUGCUCGAAACUUCGAUCUGAUUGCCAUUUUAUCAUGUUAUGAGCAAGUGGAGCCAGCCAUUCUAAUAUUGUUGUAAUUGCAUUAGUCCACUCUCCUGCAAGAGCAGUAUCAUAACCAGACGAGGUCAAGCUCUUAGAGUAUGGCUUUAGCCUUGCUCUUAGUGAAUUCCUCACUUUUGAAGGCAACAUAUUGUACAAAUCAUCUCUUGCAUCAUGACCAAUUAAGUGAGGAGAUGCAGCUAACUUUUCAAUUACAACAAUAACGUUUGCAUAGUGCAGUGCCAAAGCAGCGGCACCAAGAGUUUCAGGAAGAGCAUCCGACAACUUGAACCUCGAACUGAGUAUUGAUGGUGCAGAAUGAGCCAUGCUGGCUGGAGAAAGGUAGUCAGUGCGAUAUUCAUUGGCUUCAUUAACAUUUCCAGAAUGAACAACUGUUGAACUUAAGUAGCAAUUGACAACAGGUGAACUAUUUGCAGCUACCAUACACCCUUUAAAAGGUCCAACUUGAGUAGAUC